UUGNGGAAUUCCAAGCCUAUGGCUGCCCAGG
rnacentral:piRNA from 1 species